GUGGUGGGGUGAUGGGCAGAACAAGGCGGUAACACCCCCUGGUGUCCAGCGGGCCAAGACACCACUCAUUCCUCCCCACACCACUUCGGAAUCCACCUCUGUAGCCGCAGAAUCCUGGUGAACGCCCCUCCUCCCCCUCUGCCCAGCCUUGGCCUCCCUGCGUCCCCAUCGGGAGGACUUGGAAGGAUUUGGGAGCUGGCGAGCCGCCCUGCUUCGCUGUUCUCCUCCUCUCCUUAAAGAAGCCGAAGCUGCUAGAGGCAGCCGCCUGGCCCCGGGCCUGGCUCGGCUCUGCCGGGGUAAUUAGGCUGCGUCCUCCGAGUGAGCCUGGCUUUAACAGGAGUUGCCAGAGCUCUUGGAGCCCCGGGCGAUGUUGGUUGUCCAGGGGGCUGUCUGGGUGCCUGGGAGGCCUCGGUUCCCAUCUUUGAACUCCGAAUGAAUGAGGGUGACCUGGUUGGCCGGCUCCUACCUUCUGAAGCUCCUAGGCUGCAGCUGAUGUUUUGCUCUGUCACCUGGGUUGGAGUGCAGUGGUGUCAUCAUAGGUCAUUGCAGCCUCAAGCUUCUGUUUUCAGGUGAUCCUCCUGCUGCAGGCUUCCGAGUAGCUGGGAUGACAGUCAUGUGCCACCAUACCCAGGGCGAAGAAACAUGGCACCAUUUCUCCUGCUUCUGGGAUCAAAGAAUACCCAACUCCCAAUCUCUGGACACAGCCUGGUCCCCUACUCAUCGACACCAGUUGACUUGGGAUCUAUGGAGACUUAGGGGAGAAGAAAAAUCAUCUGUCUAUAGGUAUCAACAAUGCUUUCCUUUAAAAAAAUUUUUUUUUAUUUUAAACUUCUCCACAAUUCAAACGUUUCUCUUAUUAUCUUCUGCCGAGGGAAAAAAAUUAAUAACACAGCGCAAUAUAAAAUACUAAAUUAAAGGCAUUUUGGA